UGCUCCCUACGGGACGCAGCAGUCGGGAAUAUUGCGCAAUGGAGGAAACUCUGACGCAGUGACGCCGCGUAUAGGAAGAAGGUUUUCGGAUUGUAAACUAUUGUCGUUAGGGAAGAUAAAAGACUGUACCUAAGGAGGAAGCCCCGGCUAACUCCGUGCCAGCAGCCGCGGUAAUACGGAGGGUGCAAGCGUUACUCGGAAUCACUGGGCGUAAAGAGCGCGUAGGCGGGAUAGCAAGCCAGAUGUGAAAUCCUAUGGCUUAACCAUAGAACUGCAUUUGAAACUGUUAUUCUAGAGUAUGGGAG
rnacentral:rRNA from 1 species